CCGUUUUCAGGUCCCUGUUCGGGCGCCACUCUGUCGGAAGCCAGCCGACCAAGUCAAACCGGGUACCUGAAUGG
ensembl:miRNA